rnacentral:rRNA from 1 species
UACGGAGGGGGCUAGCGUUGCUCGGAAUCACUGGGCGUAAAGGGUGCGUAGGCGGGUUUCUAAGUCAGAGGUGAAAUCCUGGAGCUCAACUCCAGAACUGCCUUUGAUACUGAAAGUCUUGAGUAUGGGAGAGGUGAGUGGAACUGCGAGUGUAGAGGUGAAAUUCGUAGAUAUCUGGAGGAACACCGGUGGCGAAGGCGGCAUCCUGGACCGGCAUUGACGCUGAGGCGCGAAAGCCAGGGGAGCAAACGGG